GCCGGAUUUCACACAGGUGUUGCAUGGCUGUCGUCAGCUCGUGUCGUGAGAUGUUGGGUUAAGUCCCGCAACGAGCGCAACCCUCAUCCUUAGUUACCAUCAGGUAAUGCUGGGGACUUUAAGGAAACUGCCAGUGAUAAACUGGAGGAAGGUGGGGAUGAUGUCAAGUCAUCAUGGCCCUUAUGGAGUGGGCUACACACGUGCUACAAUGGUGGCUACAAUGGGCUGCAAAGUCGCGAGGCUAAGCUAAUCCCUUAAAAGCCACCUCAGUUCGGAUUGUACUCUGCAACUCGAGUGCAUGAAGUUGGAAUCGCUAGUAAUCGUGGAUCAGCACGCCACGGUGAAUACGUUCUCGGGUCUUGUACACACUGCC
rnacentral:rRNA from 1 species